CCCGCAGCCUGCGAGAGGGCGGCAAAUCUGCACCGAAACGGCGUGAAAACACAUCAGCUCACAGCCCUUUUGGGAUUUAUUUUCUUAAAAAAGCAGCUGAGCUGGUCACUGGGUUCGUUCUUAAGUAAAGAAUUUGGCCCGUUUGAAGCUGGAGCUGCAGCCUGGACCGCCGAUCCCAGGGGACUGCUGACCAGGGAACCUCGCUGGGCCUGAACCGAAAUCGGGAGAUUGGAUGCUGGCACGUUCCUGUCUGAUGCCGAGUCCUCUGGCUCUGGUGUGGAGUAGCUGUAAUGGGAAGAUGAGAGAGGGGCUCUUUCUAUGGGAGUUCAGCAGUUUUAUCCCAUUUAAAAUAUCAGUGUGAUGCAGAGAGCUGCUUCAAUCAAAUGGGAAACCUGUUUCAGCAGUUUUUAAGGACUAAAAUGUAGAAGUAGGGUGUUAGUGAUAUUCUUCCUAGUUUUGCUUUCCUGCAUGUGGUGAAGUUUGCUGUUUCAAUAUGAUAAUACCCUGUGAAACAUGAUCUUCAGGCCAUUUGGGAAAACGAUGUGCUGAAGUUUUUGCGCCGUGGAUGAUGUCUGUUCUUGGCAACUGCCUGGAUGAGUGUCCCAAUCUGUUGGAAAUAAAUCCUGUGGAGAGCGGGAGCUGCCUGCCCAGCCCGGAGCACGCAGCAGUGCCCCAGUCAGCAGGGCUGGGGGGACGGCAGGCUUUUUUCUGGGUUUUCUAAUCGAAAUCCUUUGUACUCAAGGCAAGACUUCAGUCAGCGUAACUUCAAUAAUGCAGAUAUAUGGUUCUUUCAACAAGCCAGUGUUGUCUACCAUGAUGGAGUAUUUUAUUACACUUUAUCUGCUCCAUGCCUGCAGGUCUUACCCCAAACCUUAAUUCAACGUUUGGGUCGCGAAGAUGGCAUGCGGCUUGUUCUGUCGUAAAUCCUGCCCGAGGAGCUGGGUGCGGGGACGGGCAGAGCCCUCUGUCCUGUGGCCACCGGCACUGUUCCCGUGGGAGCCCGGGGCCAGGGCAGGCUCCGUCCCCGCGGGAGGUGCGGGACCUGCAGCCCCGGCCAGCACCGCUCGGGUCUGCGGCGUUGGCGUGACGAGGACAAAGCGGUGAGUGCAGCUGGGAGGGACUCACGGGGACGUCUGAUGGGAGAUCCUGCUCCGCGUGUUGGACCGUCAGCGCGGUGCUUCUCCCUGCUUGUUUUGUUUCACUUGGAGAAGUGUCAUGAGACAUUUUAGAUGGCUUGAUUCCACAAAAUCACUUUGAAUUCAGGUUUUGUUUGGUUUUGAGGAUGAGCGUUGUGAGCCCCAAAUGUCUGUCCCAGUCCUCGUCCCUGCCUUCGCCUAAGACCAGUUGCACAUCUUUCGUCUUCCUCUCCAUCUUGUGAGUGGAGCCAGAGUUUGGUGGGCAGAUGUUUUCUCCUUUGUUUUGAUUUUUGUUAUUUCCCGGAGUGAUUUCAGUAGUAUCCUCAAAGAAGCCAGAAAUAAAUUUUCCAGUUGCCAUCAGAAGUUAA